UCCUAAUUGGAAAAACUGCAACGUUACUUAAGUAAAUAGAAAUGUUUCAGGUAUUAAAAUGUUCCACACGGUGUUUUCCUUUCACUUUGCUACUGCUAAAAUAAGGGCAAAUCAUCAAGUUUCUCUCUUUUGGCAUUUCAGAGCAUUAAGGAUAUGGUGUUUGUGCCUGUAGAUGUGUGAGUCCUUAGGCCUUGGCACUGCCAUGCAGUGGAAAUACUGGCAUUUGGUGUCAGAACACCACCAAACGGGCUAUAAAUACUUGGUCCUUGAACUAAUAUGCUCUUCAAGCAGAAAAAACAAGAGUCAGAAAAAUCUAAUUAAGGCUUAAAAUGCAUUAGGCAGAUUAUUUGGCCAGCAGAGCUAGAGUGGAAGGCUGCCAAGGAGUACUGGUGAGUUCUGUUGAGCACACCGGUAGUCUUUUAAAGCCACUGACUUGGUACACAAUCUGUAUAAUCCUGGGGAAAGCUGAUAUUGCCUGUCCAGUUCAGGAGACCACAAAUUUCUGAUGUAAAGCACUACCCUGAUGUGUAGUUGCUUUUUUUUCACUCCAUUUUCUGGCAGCGUGCGCAGCAUGUGUGCAUGCAUACAUCUCUGUUUUUGUGUGUUUGAGUACUUACACAAAAAUUAUUACACACACCUAUAGAAAAGCAUGUAUUAAUUGCCUGAUCUAAAAGGUCAGUCUGUUUGUGCAGCUCUCAGACCUAGGACUAGGCAGCUUCAUACCUGGCUUAGAGUAAUAAGAUCUCCCAACAGCCACGCUCAAAGGAAGCUAAAUCUACAUGGAUAUUGUCAGGACUCUGUACUUGGAAAUACUCUGUUGGUCAAUAAAUGUACAAUGCACAUGUUUUCAGAAAUGUCAUUUUGGGAUUUCUUUAAAGUCAAGGUGAGAUGCUCACUUGCUGUAACUGAGCAUCUGCAGUAGGUAAAGGACGCUCGUGUACUAUACAGGCCUGCAGUGACUGGCAUCCUACCAAGCACCUGGGUGUUCUCUGAAAGUUGUGUCCUGCAGUACUUUCCUACCACGUCUUUGCCACCAAGGCUGGCUGAGAUGAUAGCAAAUACUGGAUACGUUAUUUGGGGAUUUUUGAAUGCAAGCCUUUAUAAACGAGAUGAGUAACAAACCUUCUUGUUGAGGAAGGUUGUUCCCUGUAACGUAUUUCCUCUGAGACUCUGGAAGUUUUGUUCAGAAUCCAGUUGGACAUAUUUAUUGUAGGUAAUGGUUGAAUCCCCAGCUGUGAGGUGCAAGAAGAGGUGCUGGAUGCUAAUGUGGAAACCAGGAGGCAGGUGUAGUCAGGUCCCUUUGGAGCCUGCUGUUCUUGUUCAGGGCUUUCCUGAGCUCAGCACCAUGGCGCUGUGUGCUGCGUGUCCCAGCCCCAAAAGAUUCCCUUGUGGAAGAAGGGCGAGGGUGCAGGAUGCUGAGGGCCCUUUUGUGGGGGCCGGCUCCUCUGUGCCCUCUUGCUUGCCGGAGAGAAGGGCUGCCUGCUGUGCACAGGGAGUGCCUUCUAGCUACCAUCCCGUGCCCUGUCCUCCAGCCCCCUCCUCAUCCUAUGUGGAACGCCAGUGCCAGCAGUGCGGCUGCCAUUUUAGAACCCUCACCAGCUGUCACCUUGGUCACCGCUGCCCCGGACAACGCACUCGCCUCUGAAAGCUCUGGCAGUUAGCAGCCAUGUCAGGAGCGAAGAGUGCGAGGGGCAAAUGCUGCCCUAUUUUAAAUGGGAAGAGGGAGCUUGGGUUCCCAGAAGCGAAGAGGAGGAGAGCGGCCACCUUUAACAUCAAGUGGAGGAGGGGGAAGAGAGUCCUUUUCCAUCAUGCCUGGACCGGCGCUGUGACCACCACGGUGGAGCCGAUGGAGGUGGAUCCACCUCUGGAUGAGCCGAUGGAGGUGGAUCCACCUCUGGAUGAGCCGAUGGAGGUGGAUCCGCCUGCGGCACAGCUGGCCUGGCACCACACCACCGUGCCAGGCCCCUCAUUGGCACCGUCGCAGCUCCACCGUCGCUGGUCCAGGCGCUCGGCUCCUUACCCGCUGCGCGGCCCCCGCCCCCAGCAUUAGCUGGGUGGCAUUACUUAACAGCUGCUCCUCCUUCGAGCCUCCUCUGGAGCCAAGUUCUGCAAGCUCCCCUUCCCAUUUAAAUGCUGCAGGAGUUACAUUUCAGUUCUUGUUUUUGUUGUUGAUUUUAUGUUAAGUUUAGUUUUAGUGUUAGGAGUAGAUUAUUGUUUGUAUUUUAGAGUUAGGCAUAGGUUACUUUUAGUAUUUUGGUGUUAGACAUAACUUAAUGUUCUUAUUUUAGAGUUAGGCAUUGGUUACUUUUAGUAUUUUGGUGUUAGACAUAACUUACUGUUCUUAUUUUAGUGUUAGGCAUAGGUUCCUGUUCUUAUUUUAGAGUUAGGCGUAGGUUACUUGUAGUCUUUUAGUGUUAGGCAUAGGUUACUGUUCAUACUUUAGAGCUAGGGGUAGAUUGCUCCUAUCAACUGGAAGUUAGCAGUGCUCACUCGAAUGUCAGUGAACAGAGUCUGAGUGUCCAUGAAAUUAAUGUGGGAUGCAGAAAAACAGUAUCAAAUUGUGUCACAAAUGUCCUGCGUGGCCACUGCAAGCCUCCAGAGAUGUCCUCUGAUAUGACAUAUCCCAUCAGUAACUCUUGCAUACCUGAAGAUUUUCUGAUUACAUGACCACCUCAGGAAACAGAAAGGAAUAAGACCUGGGAUUGCACCUCUGAUGUGAUGAGCUGUAGCAUGAACUGGAAGGUCGAUCCAUUGCCCACCAAAAAUCACCUUCUGCUCACUAGGACAUCAAACCUCACAGCAUCCUCAUACAAUGAGAACUUUUUGAUGGAUCCCCACCUGGGAGCAAGGUUUGAAUUUACCUGGAACUCCUUUUAAAAAUUUAAGAUUUGGAGAGUGUCUCCAAGGAGACGUUUAAGAUAUCUUAAUACCUACAAUCUAUUCU